GCUGCUGCUUUUAAGGCAAAAUUAAUCCUGGGCAUAUGACACCACAACUACAGGGUGUACAGUGAUUUGUUUCACCAAAUAUUUUGUUCGCUUAUUAAUAGGUUAAAGGUAAGUAUUUCCAUUGCAGUAAAGUUGAUGAACGUUAAUAAAAAAAAAUUAAUAAUAAAAAUUACAAAUUGAAUGACAAAUUUAAAACUAUUUGCUCAGGCCACCCAAACCUGAGUUGGGUGGUUACUGGGGGUUACUUCAUCUAUCAGCCUACAGUGUGAUUCCUGUUUGUUAAUGACACACACAGUGCACGUUUCUACCUAGGUUAUUGAGCUAUUGGCUCAGACACACAUAGUUAUUUAGUCAUUAGUUAAAUAAACCUAAGGUACAACACCCAGGUUCAUUGUCACGGUUGCCUUAUAAGGCGAAAGGAAGAACAAGGAGACGUGGCUGAACUCAAAGUAAACAGUCUUUAUUAAUCCAACACGGUGUAACUAAAGGCAGGCAGAGACACAUAGGAGAAAACAUCAAUGUUCAUUACCCGAUGCUCCACUAGAAACAACACAGGGCCUAAGUAAUAGGGAGUAAACUAGACAAUUAAACACAGGUGAUUUAAAUAUAUACUGUAUAAUUAUAAUGUGGUAAAAAGCAUCAUCUGGUUCUUAUCAGAGAAGGAUUUGGUGUACUUAUACACUGUCCCCAUUAAAUAAAAUACAAAUCAUAUGCGGAUAUAUAUAUAUAUAUAUAUAUAUGUGUGUGUGUGUGUGUGUGUGUGUGUGUACACAGUACAUAUAUAUACCAGUUUAUGCUUCAGAUAUUCAACUUCAUCGCCUGAUCCACAGCUACUGAAAACAUUUUCUGCAAUCUGGAUUUGAUUUGGAAUUGAUGUUUGUUUGUAGAGAUUGACCAUGGAUCCCUCUUUAAACAGGAGGAUGUGUGAAGCGUGACCCCAGACCAAAGCCACCGCUUCCUUUUUGGAUGUUUCUAUGCCUCAUGGUUUAUGUUGCUUGCUGCAUGAUGUUGGAUGGGACCCACUUUUGUCCGAUUGAUAAGAUUCCAGCCAGCUGUCGCUUCCAAAUCGCACAUGGUGUCCCUCGAUACAGGAAUGACCUUCACAGCCAACUACCCAUGACACUCAUUUGUCCUUUUCUAUUCCCAGUGACUUCUUUACUUAAUGUGCUUUCAGUCAACAUAAAUUCAGAAUUCACUGUUUAGUUGAUUCACUUCUACAUGUUCUUCCAAAGGAAAUGUUUGUCUUUGUUUUAUCAAAUCAUAAUGUAAUGAGACUCUUCUACUGAAGUAACUGCCUUUCCAUUAGGUGGCAGGGGCUGGUUAAAGCUAAUAGCUAAUGGUUAAUAGUUUAGUGAACAGUAAAGUCUAAUUACUCUGGUCAGACUCUUAAUAAAUAAAUAAAUAAAUAAAUAAAUAAAUAAAUAAAUAAAUAAAAAUGGAUACCCUGUUUCCUAUCCAGUACAGGAAAUGUAUAUCUUAAACUGU
ensembl:lncRNA